rnacentral:miRNA from 1 species
GUGAGGAGGGGCUGGCAGGGAC